rnacentral:rRNA from 1 species
CCUACGGGAGGCAGCAGUGAGGAAUAUUGGUCAAUGGACGAGAGUCUGAACCAGCCAAGUAGCGUGAAGGAUGACUGCCCUAUGGGUUGUAAACUUCUUUUAUAUGGGAAUAAAAUGUUCCACGUGUGGGAUUUUGUAUGUACCAUAUGAAUAAGGAUCGGCUAACUCCGUGCCAGCAGCCGCGGUAAUACGGAGGAUCCGAGCGUUAUCCGGAUUUAUUGGGUUUAAAGGGAGCGUAGGUGGAUUGUUAAGUCAGUUGUGAAAGUUUGCGGCUCAACCGUAAAAUUGCAGUUGAAACUGGCAGUCUUGAGUACAGUAGAGGUGGGCGGAAUUCGUGGUGUAGCGGUGGAAUGCUUAGAUAUCACGAGGAACUCCGAUUGCGAAGGCAGCUCACUGGACUGCAACUGACACUGAGGCUCGAAAGUGUGGGUAUCAAACAGGAUUAGAUACCCCAGUAGUC